rnacentral:ncRNA from 12 species
UGGUGCGGCGCUCGCGCGCCGCAGGCAUCGAGUAGGUCGGGCCGCCUACC